CAGUCGCCGCGGGAAUACGAAGGGGGCUAGCGUUGUUCGGACUUACUGGGCGUAAAGCGCACGUAGGCGGAUCGAUCAGUCAGGGGUGAAAUCCCAGAGCUCAACUCUGGAACUGCCUUUGAUACUGUCGAUCUGGAGUAUGGAAGAGGUGAGUGGAAUUCCGAGUGUAGAGGUGAAAUUCGUAGAUAUUCGGAGGAACACCAGUGGCGAAGGCGGCUCACUGGUCCAUUACUGACGCUGAGGUGCGAAAGCGUGGGGAGCAAACAGGAUUAGAUACCCCUGUAGUCCCUGUCUCUUAUAA
rnacentral:rRNA from 1 species